rnacentral:lncRNA from 1 species
UAAGUUCAGACACCAUUUUAGAGAACUUGAAUUCAGGUAAGACUACUAUUUAGCCUUAGUUUUCCAGUUUUUUCCCCACCCCAACAAAUCCAGAGCUUUGUCCCAGUUUCUAGGUUAACCCCAACAGACAAGCAUCCCCAGAUUAAUCUCUCCCAAUAUUUCCAGGUUAAUUCCUAACAAGCCUACCCCCUGCCUAAUGACCACCAAUGCAGAAAUUUAGGGUUUGACUCCCAGCACCAACUAAUAUUGCUUGCCAGGCUAGAAAUGCCCAUUCCCCACAUGUUGUUUUCUAUAAAACCUUACCUUGAUAGAUAUUGGGCGCACCUCUCCACCAAAACUGUCCUACAUGCUGGCUGUGGGCUGAGGGGCCCAAGCUAGCUCAAAUAAAGGCCUGUUGUGAUGUGUAUCAGAUAGAUUCCUGUCUAGUUUUGGGGGUUCACUAACACUUCUCUUGGCACUACACAAGGAUCUAUGACCUCUCUACCCACAGGUGGUUGGCUAGAUUUAUAGUACCAGGCACAAUGCACUCCUGUUGAGCAGUCUAAUUAGAUAGCUACUGGGUACCACCAAGAUAAUAGUACCACUUAUUAAUUGUUGGGAUGUCUUUCCACACUGGUCAUUGCUAUGGCUCCAGGCUUGUAGGAAUUAGAUUGCCCUUCUCCCUUCAUUAUUUUUAUAUCAUCUUCUGAUUCUAUAAGGGCUAGUCCUCAGGGAGGAAGUUGUCACAUCAGUUCUAACUUGAUUUCUCCAAAUUGUAUGUCUAUAGUUUGUGAUUUCUUUAUAAUACAGGGUCUUACCUGUUGUGGAUUUGGUCUUGAGAAGGCUAGGAUGAAUCUAUGCCAAAUUUCGAAUUGGCAGUUAAGGAGACUAAAUCAAUUACUAAUUGAAAACAAAAACAAAAACCCGGCUCCAACUUCACCUCCUGGUAAUAGUUCCUGAAUGCCUAGAGAUAGAGUGACAUAAAGCUCAUCUACCCCAGAAUCCCAAUUGCUUUAAAUUGAGCCUGCAGCUCACUUGCUUGUCUCUCUAUCUCAGUAAUGGGAGACCCCAGCAUGCUGGAUUUCUGAAGAAUAAAGCACUCUUUGCAUGUAUAUACUGUUUGAGUCCCAGGUAUAAUUCACCAGUGAAUCUUAAGCCUUUACAUCUAGGGGCUCAUCCAGAAUUCACUGGAGACCCUCUGACCAAGUAGUAGAGUGUUUUUCCAGUCAUUAUGUCCAGUCUCCUGGUUGCCUUUUGUCUUAUCCAUACCUGUGUUUCUGUUUCAGGGUUAACUUUGGGUUUAAUCUGGAGGCCAAGAAGGACAAAACAAAUGCAUAUUUUGUUACCUGGCCAGGGGCAAUAGAAGAUUUACCCAAACCCCUACCAAAAGCUGUAGAACUUGCUAGUUCUCAUCUGGAUUCUGAACUACCUGUGGGUCUAUGGGCCACUCAUGCAUAGAGAGGGAGACCUUCUGAGGCAGCCUUUUGGUUUGUUUUUGUUUUCCUGGGAAUAUCCAUUUGUGUCUGUCUGUCUGUAUUCUGUUUGUGGUUUUGGUCCUCUUGUAAACUUUUUUCUUUGAUUCCUAGAUUGGGACAGGCACAAAUCACCCCACUGGGCCUGGGCCUGAACCAUUUUGAAGAUGUUUGCUGAGUCACAGAAGACUCGGGUCUGUUUUUUCAUCCCUGCAAACUAACCAUCUUUUGCAGGAAUGAAUGGCCCAUGUAUGGCCCGAGAAGGGGGCUUUUCAUCUCCCCUUCAUUUACAGGGAUUUAGUUUAUGAGGCUUGGGGCACACAGAACAAGUGCCAUGUGGCAAUACCUGUUUUAAGAAGGCCCCUGUUUAGAUGAAAUAUGUUUGUUAUGGGCUGUACUGCUCUCCGUCCUUCUUAUUCUAAAGGAGGGUCAGCUUUGGCCCCCUGUCUUGCUUCCCUGUUCUGCUCCCGAGGGGGAAUCUCUGUUUCCCUCCUUAUGUUCCUGAUCAUGCUGCCACUGCUGCUGCCCCUGCUCCUGCCCAGCCAGCACAGGCAGAGGAAAGAACAGCUCCUGACUUCCCCUGACUCUCCUGACUCCACUUGAAGUCCACCUCACACGCUGACCCAUACUGCCCAAAGGAUCAACUCUAUUACAGCCUUACACCUCCAGGCUACGGGACCCCCAGAUGUUCAGGGGAGACAGUUCAUGACAUGUGCCAUUUGCUAGUAUCUAUCUUUACAAUUAGAAAUUGCAGAAGUCCCCAUUUUUAGGAAGACCAUCAGCUCUCACAGAUCUUCUAUAUUUGAUAAUGCUGACUUACCAGCCUACCUGGGACAACUGUCAGCAUCUACUCCAGGUUCUACUCACAACAAAGGAAAUAGAGAGGAUUGUGGGAGUUGCCUGAAAAUAAGUUCCAGAAGCAAAUGGACUGCCCACUCAAAUCCAGGCUGAUAUCAAUGCAGCCUUUUCUUUGACUUGACCCAAGUGGGAUCUUUAACACUGCUGAAGGUAAGGAGAGGCUCUGUGUCCACCGCCAAAAUUCUGAUGGCAGGCCUUCAAGAGGCUGCCAGAUGGCCCACAAACUUAUGUAACUUAUGGUGAGCCAAGUGAUGCAGAAAAAAGAAUGAUAGCCCCAGAGAUUAUCUAGAAUGACUUUUCGAAGUCUAUAGAACCUAUACUCCUUUUGACCCAGAAGCCAGAGAGCACCAGUCGGCUGUGAACAGGGCUUUUGUUAACCAAGCUGUGCUUAACAUCUGUUGGCAGCAUCAGCCACUAAAUGGGAUGGCUUUGCAGCCUGCUUCUGCUGCCCAAAAGCCAGUGCUUGUUUGCCUUUGAAUGGCAAGACUUGAAGAGAGAAUUCAAGAGACAACUGACUUGGACAUGCCUCCCUCAAAGAUUCAAGAACUAGCCCAAGGCACUGCAUGAGGACUUGGUUGAGUACUAGUGGGCCCACCCCUAAAUAACUGUGCACCAGUAUGUAUUGCAGGUCCCCAACUUGGAGACAUGACAGGAGGCCCCAGGAGACCUGCUACAGGAGCUGAGUCAAGGUGGCUAUAGAGAUGACAUUUUAUAAAACACUAAUUUAAAAAUGUGUAAUUUCCCUGCGCCAUCUUGGGCGCGAUCUCGGCAGAGGGCCCCAAGGUCCCCAGAGGACUCUGCAUGCUGCAGGCACCCUGGCACAC